CGUAUUUAAGGAGGCGGAGGGCUUCUCUCCAGUGCCAGAGUGUUUGCCAGUUACGACUGAACCUGCCUGAAACCUGAAACCCUGAAGAGUUUCUCUGUCAUAGAUCUGCCUGCCCGCUCUCAGAAGAUUACUGGAAGGAAACUAAAAUCAGUGAUCUGCCUGCACUCUAUAAGCUCUGCCUCCGCCUAGCCCUCAGCCUGCCGACAGCCUCUGGACCCUCAAGGUUCCCUCCCUCAGCAGCUCUGCUCAACUCCAGAACAGUGAACCCACUCGUGACCAGUCCAG